GUUUAGAAAACAUUUUCUCAACUAACACAUUUAAAACUAAACACAUAAUAUAAUACACAUACUUAUAAGCCUACGGAUUCUCCACAUCUUAAGGACCACAAUCACCUCUCCACGACCUCUCAUGUUUUCAAACAAAUUCCGAAAGACAUAGGGAUGAUCGCAAGUUACAACACAUUUUAUCUGACUUUCACUAUUUUGAAUAAAACAAUGUGUCAAUUACACUACACGAUAAAUAUUUUCUUUGGAUCAUAUGAUAUUUUGUACUUACAGGUUGUCCCGUAUGUACAACGCCAUCUUCGGCCUUGCAGGGUCAUCGAAAUUGGCUUCAGUGUUGUCGACGUUAGGUAAACAAAAAGAUCCUCAUCAUCAUCAAUAGUUAAAGGUCGCUCACAUCCUACCACCAACGGAAUGUAGCUCAUUUUCAGUUUUUCCUUACGUUUAUUCAACCCAAGCUUCUUAUACAUCCUCUCUUCUAUCAUUGAUAAAGUCAUAUCCUCCACUAAAGUCUUCACAAUAAUACUAAACAUGCGUUCUUUGAAUUAAAAAUGAAUGCUGACGUGAUUCCUUAUUGUAUCCUGCCAAAAAAAAAAGGAACACACUCAACAAACUGCCUUUAGUUGUCCAACGUUCUACAUGUUGUUCCCAAUAUUAUCAGUUAUCCUAAGCUUUAUCAGUUGUUCCGAGUAAUACAUUUUUACUACAAUUGUCUAGAACAAACUGAAUUAGGUUUCAGCUGCGGAUCGAUCUACCUCCCAUUCUACGGCCAAUACACCCCCAUUCACCCACUCAAAUGCAUUUUAUACCAA
rnacentral:lncRNA from 1 species